GUGGCGAACGGGUGAGUAACACGUGAGUAACCUGCCCCUUACUUUCCUGGAUAACUGCUCGAAAGGGUAGCUAAUACGGGAUAUUCUGACUAGCCUGCAUGGGUUGGUUUGGAAAGGUUGUUUUUCUGGUAAGGGAUGGGCUCGCGGCCUAUCAGCUUGUUGGUGGGGUGAUGGCCUACCAAGGCUUUGACGGGUAGCCGGCCUGAGAGGGUGGACGGUCACACUGGGACUGAGAUACGGCCCAGACUCCUACGGGAGGCAGCAGUGGGGAAUAUUGCACAAUGGGCGCAAGCCUGAUGCAGCGACGCCGCGUGAGGGAUGAAGGCCUUCGGGUUGUAAACCUCUUUCGUCAGGGAACAAGGCACUGCUUUUUUGGUGGUGUUGAGGGUACCUGGAUAAGAAGCGCCGGCUAACUACGUGCCAGCAGCCGCGGUAAUACGUAGGGCGCAAGCGUUGUCCGGAAUUAUUGGGCGUAAAGAGCUCGUAGGCGGCUGGUCGCGUCUGUCGUGAAAACUUCCGGCUCAACCGGGGGCUUGCGGUGGGUACGGGCCGGCUAGAGUGCGGUAGGGGUAACUGGAACUCCUGGUGUAGCGGUGGAAUGCGCAGAUAUCAGGAAGAACACCGAUGGCGAAGGCAGG
rnacentral:rRNA from 1 species